rnacentral:rRNA from 1 species
UACGUAGGUGGCAAGCGUUGUCCGGAUUUAUUGGGUUUAAAGGGUGCGUAGGCGGUCUUUUAAGUCAGUGGUGAAAUACUUCAGCUCAACUGGGGAGGGUCACGCGAUACUGAUCGACUCGAAGGCAGGAGAGGGUAGUGGAAUUCCCGGUGUAGUGGUGAAAUGCGUAGAUAUCGGGAGGAACACCAGUGGCGAAGGCGACUACCUGGCCUGUUCUUGACGCUGAGGCGCGAAAGCUAGGGGAGCAAACGGG